ensembl:ncRNA C40C9.10 ncRNA
CGUCAAUCCGGUUGUCUACAAUGGCAAGAUGAUGGCAAAAAUUGUGGGUAAACAAUGCUCUUCUUGCGUGCGCGGGGUCAUGGAACUUGUCUCAUGAACUCUAACUUCUGAGCAUGAAAACUCCAACUACAAACUACCGCUCU